UAGCUCAGGGGUAGAGCCCAUGCUUAAAAUGCAUGAGGGCCUGGGUUCAAUCCCCUG
rnacentral:tRNA from 1 species